AUUGAACGCUGGCGGAAUGCUUUACACAUGCAAGUCGAACGGCAGCACGGACUUCGGUCUGGUGGCGAGUGGCGAACGGGUGAGUAAUAUAUCGGAACGUGCCCAGUCGUGGGGGAUAACGUAGUGAAAAUUACGCUAAUACCGCAUACGAUCUAAGGAUGAAAGCGGGGGAUCGCAAGACCUCGCGCGAUUGGAGCGGCCGAUAUCAGAUUAGGUAGUUGGUGAGGUAAAGGCUCACCAAGCCAACGAUCUGUAGCUGGUCUGAGAGGAGGACCAGCCACACUGGAACUGAGACACGGUCCAGACUCCGACGGGAGGCAGCAGUGGGGAAUUUUGGACAAUGGACGCAAGUCUGAUCCAGCCAUUCCGCGUGCAGGAAGAAGGCCUUCGGGUUGUAAACUGCUUUUGUACAGAACGAAAAGGUCUCUAUUAAUACUAGGGGCUCAUGACGGUACUGUAAGAAUAAGCACCGGCUAACUACGUGCCAGCAGCCGCAGUAA
rnacentral:rRNA from 1 species